CCUACGGGGGGCAGCAGUGGGGAAUAUUGGACAAUGGGGGCAACCCUGAUCCAGCCAUGCCGCGUGUGUGAAGAAGGCCCUCGGGUUGUAAAGCACUUUCAGUGAGGAAGAACGCCUGGUGGUUAAUACCCAUCAGGAAAGACAUCACUCACAGAAGAAGCACCGGCUAACUCCGUGCCAGCAGCCGCGGUAAUACGGAGGGUGCGAGCGUUAAUCGGAAUUACUGGGCGUAAAGCGCGCGUAGGUGGCUUGAUAAGCCGGUUGUGAAAGCCCCGGGCUCAACCUGGGAACGGCAUCCGGAACUGUCAAGCUAGAGUGCAGGAGAGGAAGGUAGAAUUCCCGGUGUAGCGGUGAAAUGCGUAGAGAUCGGGAGGAAUACCAGUGGCGAAGGCGGCCUUCUGGACUGACACUGACACUGAGGAGCGAAAGCGUGGGUAGCAAACAGGAUUAGAUACCCUGGUAGUC
rnacentral:rRNA from 1 species